rnacentral:lncRNA from 1 species
UGAGGUGGUUAGGAGUGAAAAGAGAUAUUGGUAGCUAGAUGAUUAAAGCAAAAUAGGUAACAAAACAAGCAAAAGGGAAAUCUGCCAGGGGUGCCAUCCUAUGUAGUGUCUUUGACAUGACGAUAAACACCAUAUGAAGGGAAAUAAAUCUCAUUAGAUUCCAAUAGGGGAGCUUCCAGGUAGAUAGAGUGUGUAGAGAAAUUGCCUACCAUAUCCAUAUUAGAGGUCAAGCAUACAAGAAGUGGGCACCAAUACUAGAGAAGAUUCCAGCAGUACCAUGAUGC